CCUACGGGAGGCAGCAGUGGGGAAUAUUGGGCAAUGGGCGCAAGCCUGACCCAGCAACGCCGCGUGAAGGAAGAAGGCUUUCUGGUUGUAAACUUCUUUUAAGAGGGAAGAGCAGUAGACGGUACCUCUGGCAUAACCCACGGCUAACUACGUGCCAUCAGCCGCGGUAAUACGUAGGUGGCAAGCGUUGUCCGGAUUUACUGGGUGUAACGGGCGUGUAGCCGGGCUGACAAGUCAGUUGUGAGUUUUCGGGGCUCAACCCCGGACCUGCAUUUGAAACUGUUGGUCUUGAGUAUAGGAGAGGCAGGCGGAAUUCCUAGUGUAGCGGUGAAAUGCGUAGAUAUUAGGAGGAACACCAGUGGCGAAGGCGGCCUGCUGGACGACAACUGACGGUGAGGCGCGAAAGCGUGGGGAGCAAACAGGAUUAGAUACCCCAGUAGUC
rnacentral:rRNA from 1 species